GUGACAAUCAGUUUGUGACAAGCAUGGCAGGCCUCAGCUGGCCUGGCCCAGGGAGCAGGAGAGCAGCAAGGGCAGGCAAGGACAGCCCUGGGAGCAGGACUCCAUCUCAUGGGGGAGCUCUGCAAACCUGCCUUGGUGCUUUUCCUUCUGGAAAACUCCGUGCAGCUCAAAACACAGAUUUUAGAGCCUCUUACACAACAGCCCUGCCGAGCUAGACGAGUGGCAGUGUCCCAGAGGAAGCUCUGCUGCUCUGAGUGAUGUGUGUGACACAGAUCAGAGCUGACACCGAGUGGCAGCUGUGCCCCUUGGCAGAGCCCCUCGGGACACGGCUCCUCUGCCUGGCCCCGCUGCUGGGAGCAGGCUCUGGGGCUCACUCACUGCUGGGAAUGGGCUCUGGAGCUCUUUCAGUGCUGGGAGCAGCCUCUGGAGAUCACCCAGUGCUGGGAAUGGGCUCUGGAGCUCUUUCAGUGCUGGGAAUGGGCUUUGGAGCUCUAUCACUGCUGGGAGCAGCUCUGGAGAUCACCCAGUGCUGGGAAUGGGCUCUGGAGCUCUCCCACUGCUGGGAAUGGUUUCUGGGGCUCUCUCACUGCUGGGAUUGGGCUCUGGAGCUCUCUCCAUGCUGGGAUUGGGCUCUGGGGCUCACUCAGUGCUGGGAGCAGCCUCUGGAGCUCUCUCACUGCUGGGAAUGGGCUCUGGAGCUCUCACUGCACUGCAGGGCUCACAAGGAGCAAAUCCCUCCCAAGGGAAUAGAAGCCAGUCAGUCAUUCAGCCCAAACCAUGCCACUUCCAGUGUCCUGCAAAACACCACAAGGCUCUCAGGAGACUUCAGCCAUUCCCAAAGCUGUGGUCAACGAAUUAUGGUCAUUUAGCCCAAACCAUGUCACUUCCUCUGUCCUGCAAAACACCACAAGGCUCUCAAGAGGCUUCAGCCAUUCCUGAAGCUACCUGAGAUAGACAAGAAGGAGGUUUGAGGAGCAAUCUCAUUAAAUAACACAAAAUUCAUGGUCAAACCUGCAUUGUGGUAUUUCUUGGGUAACUAUCUGAAAAGCAAAUCAACACACAGCAGCAGGAAAGGGCCAAACAGCAGGAAAAGGCCAAACCUCCUCUUCUUGCAAGUUGUGUUCUUAACUCUGAGAUGCAGCUCUGUGCCCUGCCCUGCAUGGCUGAGCAUGUGCCUGCAGGGACACUGCCCAGACCCCACAUGAAGCCAUUAGCUCCUUUAUCAGCAUGUCAUUGCUUUUUAUAGCAGUGUUUAUAUAAAGCCUUCAAAAGUGAAAUUGCAGCCAGAUGGACCCUUCCUCAGCAGCAUCUUCCCGUGGUGUGGGGAAAGGCACAACCCAUGGACACUGCAACAGGCCAGAUCAAGCUUAUUUCACACCCAGGAGGAAAAGUGUUAGAGACUUCAAAUCACGCUGCAGUGAUGAAAACAGGGCUGCCCACAUCCAGAGUCUGAUAUCUGAGCUGGCUUUACUCUGUGUUCAGUGUCUCCUUCUCAUAAACAAAUUGGAAUCAUUCAGGUGGGAGCAUAAAGCAGGCAGGAUUUUGUGAGGUCCAAAUACCCAGGUCAGGAUUAAUUCAGUGCAGAAUUCAGGGUAAUAAUCCAGGUCAGGAUUAAUUCAGUGCAGAAAGCCAUUGCAUUGCUGAAGACCCCCUUAGCCCCUGGGCUGCUGUGACACAGGUGGGCUGAGCUGGUGUGGGCUCCCUGAAUGACCUGUGCAGAGCAGGGAGUGCUCCUGGGGUGAGGUGAGAGGCUAAAAUGGUCAUUAUUGUUGCUCAGAGGGUCUGGGAGCUGUGGAAGCAGCAGAUUCUGUGUACCAGAAAUAUUCCAACUCAGCUGAGGCUGAAAUUUGGAGAGGAGGAGAUGGGCAAAGCAAGGGCACCUGUCCCCUGGGGUGGCCUGCACUGGGCUGGAGAUGCCCUCAGAGGAGCUGGGUGAGGGUAGGUGCAUGACACAGUGUCUGGGGGACAAAGGUGCUGUUACCAAAGGGGUAAAUCCCCAAAAGUUGGCCCCCAAAGGUAAAUCACGUGCUAGGACAGGUGUUUACACAGUGAGCACUGUGAGCUUGACGCAGUCACGAAUCCUCCCCCUCUGCUCUCUCAGAUCCAGACAUGCCUGGCCACAGGCAGGGAUGCCUCGGGCUAUGAUCCUUUGUAAAAUCCCUGUGUUUCUAGUCUGGCCUUAAGCAUAAACAGGAAAAGCAACAGCAAUCAGAGCAGCCCCAGCACGACCCUGUCUCUGACAGGUCCCCAGUAGCAGAUCCAGAGACAACAGCCUCGUGCAGCUGCAUGCAGCAGCCCUGCCCCGCUGCCUUUCAUCUGCUGCUCAUCCUCAGCACAAAAAGUCCCUGAUUUGAGGAGUUCAGUUCAUUCCCUGGAGAAGUAACCUCAGCCUACUGCUUAUUGUCACCCCUCUGGCCAUUCCCACAGAGGAGCCUUGAUCAGAAGGGCCACGAGAGCUGAACUCAGGUAUUCAGGGAGGUCUGGGGAGCCCAGGCGAUGCAGAGAAGCUCCUGAGCCCUUUAUUCAUAACAAACAGGGAGCCUGACAAGUGCCAGACCUCCUCCUUUCAGCAACAGUGAACUGCUAUUGAUGUUUAUUCAUAGAAAUUAUUACUGAUACAAGCAAAGCUCCAUUGCACACCGUGGCCCAUCCGUUCUGAUUUAUAAAUUCCAGUUGUCUGGCAAAGCAAUGCCUGCAAAUCUUCCCUGUUGUUUGUGGGCAGAAUCCCAUAAAACCAGCAGAAUGAGUUGUUCUGGACAUUUUGCACAAACUUGUUCACAAAUAAAACUUGUCUUCUGCUGCCACAGUGCACAUCACAUUGCCAUUCAAUCUGAAACUUCGGGUGGGAAUAAAAGAGAUGUGGCAAAUACUGGGGUUUCUGAUGGAAAUCCCUGCCAAUGGGAACUGUGGAGGACUUGUAAUAUCCAUCCUUAGGAUGACUCCUGACAGCUGAUUUAACAAUUCCACAAUAAGUGGGCAUUUUCUGACAGUAAAUUCUGGCAGAAGUGCACAUAGCAUCACACUGCCAGCUCCCCAUUAAUGCUCUGCACUGGUGGAUGUUUCAUCUCAUGUGUCAUCAUCUGGGGCUUCAUUUGGAUGUCACUGGGCCAGGGACAGGGAGCAAACAAUUUAAUUGGAUGAAGUGUCCUCCACCUUGUGUUCAGACACUGCAGGACCUCAGUGCUGGGGACAGGAUGGAAAUAAACCAGAAGAGCUUUUCCUUUUGUGCUCAGAUCACUGCUGGGUGGAUUCAUGACUGGGUCAUACUCAGGGACAGGAUGGAAAUAAACCAGAAGAGCUUUUCCUUUUGUCCUCACAUCACUGUUGGGUGGAUUCAUGACUGGGUCAUACUCAGGGACAGGAUGGAAAUAAACCAGAAGAGCUUUUCCUUUUGUGCUCAGAUCACUGCUGGGUGGAUUCAUGACUGGGUCAUACUCAGGGAUCCAGGUGAAGGAUCUGUGUGUUGGGAGUUCAGGUUCUCUGUGUGCUCAGCAGGUGUUCCUGCCCCUUGCUGGCUGCUUCACUUGCCAGGAAUCCGUAGGAUAGGGCUUGUUUCUCACAGCAGGGCCAUUCUCACCUGAAUCCUCCAGCCUCCACAUCCCUCAGGUACAAUUAAUGGCAGUUCCGAUGCUGGAGAUCAUUCUUAAAGUGAAGAUUAUAAAGCCCCAACAGGACCUCAUGGCCCUCAUUCCUCCCCUUCAGCUCACAGCUGGGUUUUUCCUGCCAAUUAAAAAAAAAACCUGGGUUUUUCUGUUCUUAAUUCACCCCAGUAUUGAAUAAACCCAUUGACAAAAACGAUGUCCAAAUAGUGAGAUUGCAAGAGCAACUGUUAAGAGCUGGAGUCAGACACUCAGCACUGACCCUGCUCUCCUUGAGCAUCCCUGCUCCUGUGAGUGCUUCCCUGCCCCUGGGCAGGCACGGGGCUCUCACAGAGACCCCCACCCCUGCCCCAGCAGCAGCCCCUCCUCUCUGAGCUGCAGCAGAGCCCGGCUGCCCCAUCUUCAUCCCCAGGACAGCCAGGCUGCUCUGCAGGGAAAGGUGCAGGGAGCUCAGGUGUGAGCCCAGCACACCCCAGGGAGCAGGAGCAGGGCACAGCAGCCAAGCUAGGAGAGUAGGAAGCAGAGACAGGGCCCAAGGAAGGAGCCCCAGUGCUGGCAGUGGCAAGAGACACUGAGGGAUGACAGUGCCAGACCUGGGUAACAAUUAAAUCAGUAAAACACACACACACACUAUUUCUGUCUCUCAGGCAACACACACAUGAUUAGUUUAUGUAAAUACCUAACGCAGAUUGGCAAAAUAAGCACAGAGGCAGCUUCUUUUCCCGAAUAAAUAUUUAUCUUGGUGCUUAUGCUGUUCAUGGGCUCCUCCAUGACCAGCCACUGCCCACGGCUUGGCUCUGGCUGAGGUCAGGCACUGCAGGAUUCCCACGGCUGCACAAGAGCUGUCCUGACCCACAGGCCACAUCUCCCUGAUAAAUGAGAACUUGGAGAUAAGACUUGGCAUUUUCUGACGAAAACCAAGUAUCUCUGCAGCAAAUACCACCAUCCCUGUGCUGAACACCCCGUGAACUCACAGCUGCUCCAGCCAAGUGAAACGCUGGAACUGGGUGAAUGAGGAGAUCCAAACCCUUGGAGGUGUGUUGGAGAAGUGUCUGCAUUUGAUGUGUAGCUGCCUUGGCAGAAUUCAUCUUUUUGGCCUCAAUUCAGCAGAACACUUAAGAACAGGGACAGGACUUGGAAGACGUGUGAGCUCCAGUAAAACAGAGGUGCAGGCUUAAGUGGUUUUGCUGGACAAGGGUCUUUAAACCACUGGCACUUGCUCUAAUUCCUCAUCUUUAAUAAAAUCCACCUGACUGCAACAGCACAAGAGCCAGGGCUGAGUAAAGGAAGCAGCCAGAGUCUGGUAAUUGACUGCCCAGUUUGGAAUGUCAGAGCACAACAAAUCAAAGCUUCACCCUUGGUGGGUUUGAUUUAGAUCCUCUCUGUCAGCAAAGCCUUAAUUAGAGGCCACCUUCAGAAAAAUCUGCAUUGAUAAAAAGGAUAUGGAAGUGCAGCCCUGUGCUGGCUGUAAUUGCUCAGGACACACCCCAGCCAGGCUCCAGAAUCCCUGCUCUGUCCUGCCUGAAUGUGACAUUCCCUGCAAGGACACUGGGCUGGGAGCACAUCACAGGAGCUGCUGGAGCCACACAGUAAAAUUUUAUUUCAGCUCUAAAAGCAGUUGGAUCCCUGGGCAUCCAUGCAGAGUUCUCUCUCUUCAUUUUCUGUGGCAAAGCACAAACUCCAGGCUGUUCUUUAGCUCACUGUUAUUGUUCUGACAAAUUUGGCUGAGGCUCCCUCAGCCUGGCCAUUGCCAGCGAGCUCUGACCACAGAACAUUUGCUCCCUCCUUCAGAAAAACCCAUAGCCAAGUCCUUCAACAUCUUCUUUGCCUUUCCCUGGUGAGUCAGGACACCCACACAGAAGUGAUGGAGGAGGGAAAAUGCUGCAUUUCUUUUGCCAUUUCUGCCUUGUGACUGUGCGGAGCACGAAGCCAAAAUUUCCAGGUGCGCUGGAAGGUGGUGGGAGCAGCCAAGCUCCAAACCUGCCAGGACGGUCCCCAGGAUGCAGAACAACAUCUCCAGCUCAGGCUGGGCAGCCACCAAUGCCACCUCCAACCCCCUUCAGCUUCUGUCCCUGUCACCACAGCCACAGCUGGCACAAGGGGCUCACUGGCAAAAUAUUGUCCCCAUUUUCCACAGCUUUUCACAAACGCCAAAAUGAAGCUUUCCUGUACCAGGCUGAUGUAAAAAUGUAUUUCCAUCUGGAAAAUGAGAAGGAAAGGAAACCAAAGGAAAGCAGGGCGCAGCAGGAGAGCCAUGUUAGAAGAAAAAACAUGGCUCUCUUUCAUUUUUACCCUUGUUACAUCAUUCCUGAAUGCCUCUGUUCAGGAGCUCUAAGGCUGCACUCGUUGGAGGGAUCCCUUACACACACACACACACACACACACACACACACACACACACACACACACGUGUGUAAA